GAUGAAGAACGUAGCGAAAUGCGAUAAGUAAUGUGAAUUGCAGAAUUCAGUGAAUCAUCGAAUCUUUGAACGCACAUUGCGCCCGCCAGUAUUCUGGCGGGCAUGCCUGUUCGAGCGUCAUUUCAACCCUCAAGCCCCAGUGGCCUGGUGUUGGGGACCGGCGACCUCGCCCGGGGGAACACCCCCGGCGCGUCCGCCGCCCCCGAAAUGAAUUGGCGGCCCCGUCGCGGCCUCCUCUGCGUAGUAGCACAACCUCGCAGCGGGAGCGCGACGCGGCCACUGCCGUAAAACGCCCAACUUUUUUUAGAGUUGACCUCGGAUCAGGUAGGAAUACCCGCUGAACUUAAGCAUAUCAAUAAGCGGAGGA
rnacentral:misc_RNA from 1 species